rnacentral:rRNA from 2 species
UACGUAGGGUGCGAGCGUUAAUCGGAAUUACUGGGCGUAAAGGGUGCGCAGGCGGUUUUGUAAGUCAGAUGUGAAAUCCCCGGGCUUAACCUGGGAAUGGCGUUUGAAACUGCAAGGCUAGAGUGUAGCAGAGGGGAGUGGAAUUCCGCGUGUAGCAGUGAAAUGCGUAGAUAUGCGGAGGAACACCGAUGGCGAAGGCAGCUCCCUGGGCUAACACUGACGCUCAUGCACGAAAGCGUGGGGAGCAAACAGG